AUUGAACGCUGGCGGCAGGCCUAACACAUGCAAGUCGAGCGGAUGAAGGGAGCUUGCUCCUGGAUUCAGCGGCGGACGGGUGAGUAAUGCCUAGGAAUCUGCCUGGUAGUGGGGGAUAACGUCCGGAAACGGGCGCUAAUACCGCAUACGUCCUGAGGGAGAAAGUGGGGGAUCUUCGGACCUCACGCUAUCAGAUGAGCCUAGGUCGGAUUAGCUAGUUGGUGGGGUAAAGGCCUACCAAGGCGACGAUCCGUAACUGGUCUGAGAGGAUGAUCAGUCACACUGGAACUGAGACACGGUCCAGACUCCUACGGGAGGCAGCAGUGGGGAAUAUUGGACAAAGGGCGAAAGCCUGAUCCAGCCAUGCCGCGUGUGUGAAGAAGGUCUUCGGAUUGUAAAGCACUUUAAGUUGUGAGGAAGGGCAGUAAGUUAAUACCUUGCUGUUUUGACGUUACCAACAGAAUAAGCACCGGCUAACUUCGUG
rnacentral:rRNA from 1 species